AAGCAGGAUGUGAANUCCCCGGGCUCAACCUGGGAACUGCGUUNUGAACUGGGUAGCUAGAGUAUGUCAGAGGGGGGUAGAAUUCCACGUGUAGCAGUGAAAUGCGUAGAGAUGUGGAGGAAUACCGAUGGCGAAGGCAGCCCCCUGGGAUAAUACUGACGUUCAUGCUCGAAAGCGUGGGUAGCAAACAGGAUUAGAUACCCUGGUAGUCCACGCCCUAAACGAUGUCGAUUAGCUGUUGGGCAGCUUGACUGCUUAGUAGCGUAGCUAACGCGUGAAAUCGACCGCCUGGGGAGUACGGUCGCAAGAUUAAAACUCAAAGGAAUUGACGGGGACCCGCACAAGCGGUGGAUGAUGUGGAUUAAUUCGAUGCAACGCGAAGAACCUUACCUGGUCUUGACAUGUACGGAACCUUCCAGAGACGGAAGGGUGCCUUCGGGAGCCGUAACACAGGUCCUGCAUGGCUGUCGUCAGCUCGUGUCGUGAGAUGUUGGGUUAAGUCCCGCAACGAGCGCAACCCUUGUCAUUAGUUGCCAUCAUUCAGUUGGGCACUCUAAUGAGACUGCCGGUGACAAACCGGAGGAAGGUGGGGAUGACGUCAAGUCCUCAUGGCCCUUAUGACCAGGGCUUCACACGUCAUACAAUGGUCGGUACAGAGGGUAGCCAAGCCGCGAGGCGGAGCCAAUCUCAUAAAACCGAUCGUAGUCCGGAUUGCACUCUGCAACUCGAGUGCAUGAAGUCGGAAUCGCUAGUAAUCGCAGGUCAGCAUACUGCGGUGAAUACGUUCCCGGGUCUUGUACACACCGCCCGUCACACCAUGGGAGUGGGGGGUACCAGAAGUAGGUAGGGUAACCGCAAGGAGCCC
rnacentral:rRNA from 1 species